rnacentral:tRNA from 1 species
UGUAAAGGUUCUCCAACACA